CAGAACAGAGGGAGGGAUCCUGAGAGGAGUGGUGUAGGAGGGAUAAACCAACAAGUGAUAUAUGUUUCAGUAAGAUUGGAUUUUAUAGUUAAAAGUCUCAUAACAUAGCGGUGGUGGCAGCAGCAGAGAGGACUUGAUGUGUCCCAUCCUUUCAGGUUGUUGGCCUGAAGUAGAAUUAAAAAGAUUUGUGGUUUCUAGUGAGUGUAGGGUUAGAUGGUAGAUGGUAAUGAGUGUAGGGGUAGAUGGUAGAUGGUAGUGAGUGUAGGGUUAGAUGGUAGAUGGUAGGGUAUUUAAAUAGUGGAGUAGGGUGGUAGGUUGGUAAUGAGUGUAGGGUUAGAUGGUAGAUGGUAGGGUAUUUAAAUAGUGUAGUAGGGUGGUAGGUGGUAAUGAGUGUAGGGUUAGAUAGUAGAUGGUAAUGAGUGUAGGGUUAGAUGGUAGAUGGUAAUGAGUGUAGGGUUAGAUGGUAGAUGGUAAUGAGUGUAGGGUUAGAUGGUAGAUGGUAAUGAGUGUAGGGGUAGAUGGUAGAUGGUAAUGAGUGUAGGGGUAGAUGGUAGAUGGUAAUGAGUGUAGGGUUAGAUGGCAGAUGGUAAUGAGUGUAGGGUUAGAUGGUAGAUGGUAAUGAGUGUAGGGUUAGAUGGUAGAUGGUAAUGAGUGUAGGGUUAGAUGGUAGAUGGUAAGGAGUGUAGGGUUAGAUGGUAGAUGGUAAUGAGUGUAGGGUUAGAUGGUAGAUGGUAAUGAGUGUAGGGUUAGAUAGUAGAUGGUAAUGAGUGUAGGGUUAGAUGGUAGAUGGUAAUGAGUGUAGGGUUAGAUGUUAAUGAGUGUAGGGUUAGAUGGUAGAUGGUAAUGAGUGUAGGGUUAGAUGGUAGAUGGUAAUGAGUGUAGGGUUAGAUGGUAGGUGGUAAUGAGUGUAGGGUUAGAUGGUAGAUGGUAAUGAGUGUAGGGUUAGAUGGUAGAUGGUAAUGAGUGUAGGGUUAGAUGGUAGAUGGUAAUGAGUGUAGGGUUAGAUGGUAGGUGGUAAUGAGUGUAGGGUUAGAUGGUAGAUGGUAAUGAGUGUAGGGUUAGAUGGUAGGUGGUAAUGAGUGUAGGGUUAGAUGGUAGGUGGUAAUGAGUGUAGGGUUAGAUGGUAGGUAGUAAUGAGUGUAGGGUUAGAUGGUAGAUGGUAGAUGGUAGGGUAUUUAAAUAGUGAAGUAGGGUGGUAGGUGGUAAUGAGUGUAGGGUUAGAUGGUAGGUGGUAAUGAGUGUAGGGUUAGAUGGUAGAUGGUAAUGAGUGUAGGGUUAGAUGGUAGGGUAUUUAAAUAGUGUAGUAGGGUGGUAGAUGGUAAUGAGUGUAGGGUUAGAUGGUAGAUGGUAAUGAGUGUAGGGUUAGAUGGUAGAUGGUAAUGAGUGUAGGGUUAGAUGGUAGGUAGUAAUGAGUGUAGGGUUAGAUGGUAGGUGGUAAUGAGUGUAGGGUUAGAUGGUAGAUGGUAAUGAGUGUAGGGUUAGAUGGUAGAUGGUAAUGAGUGUAUGGUUAGAUGGUAGAUGGUAGGGUAUUUAAAUAGUGUACUAGGGUGGUAGAUGGUAAUGAGUGUAGGGUUAGAUGGUAGAUGGUAAUGAGUGUAGGGUUAGAUGGCAGAUGGUAAUGAGUGUAGGGUUAGAUGGUAGAUGGUAAUGAGUGUAGGGUUAGAUGGCAGAUGGUAAUGAGUGUAGGGUUAGAUGGUAGAUGGUAGGAAUAUUUGUUGAUUUAUUCAUUUUUAGUUUCAAGCAAAGUGUAAAGGAGUUAAACUCCAGUCUAGUAAGUGGCGGUAAUGCAACAUUUAUUGGAUGCCCAACACUGUUAAACCUCCUCGAUAAAGGUGAAAAAUAAUAAAUAAUAAUAAAUAAUAAUAAAGGUGAAGAAAAGAAAAUGGAAGAAGAACGUUGAACUGCACCGCUAGAUGGCAGCAGAUCACCUGGUGUCAAGCAGUCUGAUAGCGCAGAGGUUUGGUCCAAGAAGACCUGUAGUCUGUGAUGUUAUUCCCUCCUCCUCCUCCAUGUGAUGUUAUUCCCUCCUCCUCCUCUAUGUGAUGUUAUUCCCUCCUCCUCCUCCUCCGUGUGAUGUUAUU
rnacentral:lncRNA from 1 species